rnacentral:rRNA from 1 species
GACGUAGGGCGCGAGCGUUGUCCGGAUUUAUUGGGCGUAAAGAGCUCGUAGGCGGCUUGUCGCGUCGAAUGUGAAAACCCACGGCUCAACUGUGGGCUUGCAUUCGAUACGGGCAGGCUAGGAGUUCGGUAGGGGAGACGUGGAAUUCCUGGUGUAGCGGUGAAAUGACGCAGAUAUCAGGAGGAACACCGAUGGCGAAGGCAGAUCUCUGGGCCGUAACUGACGCUGAGGAGCGAAAGCAUGGGGAGCGAACAGG